rnacentral:tRNA from 1 species
GGGGGCAUAGCUCAGUAGUAGAGCAUAUGCUUAGCAUGCACAAGAUCUUGGGUUCAAUCCCCUGCCAGCA